GGCUUGUAGCUCAGUGGUAGAGUACUUGCCUUGCAUGUGUGAGGCCCUGGGGUCAAUCCUCAGCACCA
rnacentral:tRNA from 1 species